AGAGAAUUGUCAGACAAAACAGGCACAAAACAAGCAACAAAGAAGGCGCGACGAUUACUCUUUAUCCCUACUGGUAACAGAUAAUGACAUGAUCUCGACAAUUUUUGUUGCAGACAAAACGGAAGCUGAAUUUGUUGCGUACUUUUCAACUCGUGAAUAAUCAAUUUACUAACCUAAAGUCGAAACUGUUUGAUAAUAGAUCUUCAGCAGAGCUACAGAGUGUUUACCGGAACGAAGUUACCGCUCGAAAAUCGCAAUGCAAGGCUUAAAAAUCUCUAAACUCGUGGUGUACGAUGUUUAUCCUAUUAUUUUCAAGAUGGGACAAACAUAUGUCGCACUGGGUGGAUUGUCGCAACAAAUACAGGUUGCGACAUUGUCAUUAUUGUUGCGCGAUGGGUGAAUUUUGAUUCACUGACCACCAGUGAUUCUGUGUAGUGUCCAUGUGAGUCUGUUUCCCCUUAUCAUAUUCUACUACUUCAUUUUCCUACGUUUCGUUUAACGGAUUCAUUCGGGUACUUAUAUUUCGCUCUAUCAUAUUCUCGGGGUCCGGGUCUACUAUAGCGGAAGACGAUUCAGUCGACCUACGUCUUCGAUCGCGCGCGUACUGUGCAUUGGAUGUUAAGGAUGCAUAGGUGGGAAUGUAAUGUUUUAAUUACCAUGCUAAUAUACUUUUGGUUCGUUCUACUAUUGGUGAUUAACGUGCAUUCUAAGAUGAGUGAAUUUACUUCCGUUCCUUUCUUUAUGUUAGGCUGACGAAACAGUUUCUUUUCAGGUUUGCCCCACAAAUUGGACCAAUGUUGGAACGCAUCGAAUUCCUAUGGAAUAAUUUCUAUUGUUUCUACCAACAAGUACGCGGCUUGUAUCUUCCUGUAGGCGAAUGUUUCCCUAUUUCAACCCUAUGUGUUUUCUUUAUAGAAGCGAUGGAUGAUUCUAGUGUUACUUGGCCAUUGUUCUAUAUUCUAAUACCAGCAACCAUUUCAAUUGACUGUUGAAACGACGCUGUGGAUGACUUGCUAUAAAGUUCAUUCGCUCCGACGAGUACAGACGAACCACUCACGACUCUUCACACCUAACUAUCCAGAGGACGAUCACAUUACGGACAGUAAUCAAAAUAAACUGGACGAUACUAAUUACUCGACGUUGGAACAUUACGCUGAAUUAUGCAAACGAUGAACGACUUCUACGGACAACGACAAAAAUUGUUGACGGCAAGACACCAAUAGCUUAAUACGAUUUAUGGCAACGAUGAUGACCUACGGCCUACACAAACACUCGUCGCCUCGUUCUAUGGAUUGUACUCCCGUAAGUUGAUUCUAAGAUGACCGUGACCCACGACGGUAUAGGUUCUCAAUCUCAGUUUUCUUUUAGAAUUCAACCAGGUGCACAAUGUCGGACAUCGUUGCCCGCACGAAGAUCACUCGCGGAGAAAACACCCAAUGUUUUUCCUUGCUUAUCCGCCAGCUCAUAAGAACUGCUACCGCGCUUGGCAACUAUGGUGCAAGGGAUGAACAGCGGUCCAUACUUCGCAUUGUAGUGUUCAGAUGCGGACGACUGGCGAAAAUUACGCUUGUAAACAUUUUAGCCAAUUUCAAACGUUGGGGCAUCCUUCCUGAAACCUUCUGGCGCAAUCUACGUCGCUUCACAUCACGAGAAUCACCAAUUUUGAACGGAACCUGGCGUACUGCAAGUUCGUACUCCACCUCAUCUACCAGCAGAUGACCCGCGUUCAUCAACUGAUACUUUAGAUUAAAUUCAGCAUCCAUGUUACCCAAUUCAAUACAACAAAAUUCAAAGCAAUUUCAAAUUAACAUACAAAUAAACAACAAAAAUAAGAAAAAUAAAAAUACUAAUGUUAAAUUAAGACUAUAGUAGACGAAUUCAAAAUUUCAAAUUCAAUACGAUUUCUCUUAGAUACUUAAUAAGGUAGUAAUUAAAAUGAAAUAAUGUAAGUGUUUGUGUAGUGUGGUGGAUAGUUAAAUUUCAUUCAGGACCUUUUUCCAAUGCUGUAAAAAUUUUUUUUUUUAGUGUAUUUUUUUUUUUUUAUUAAUCUGUUCUGUAGUUCUAACUGCUAUUUAUAAGGCACUCUUAAUAUUUUAUUUUUGCCACUGAACCGAAUUUCAAACGCACGUGGUCAAUGUCUUUAAGUUUCCAAAAGAGUAGAACGAUUUUGGUCGGUGCACAACAGCGCAUAGAUCCUACACAACUGUGUAAGUUGUGUACUCACCUGCCGCCUAUUAAAAAUCCUUAGAUUUUUUUUAAAUUUUAAUCGAUCCUCAGCUUACCUUUCGCGUGUUGUAGUUGGGCGCCAAUUGUAACUUUUUAUUGAACCGGACAAUCUCACAGUAACAGGAGACCCCUCGAACUGGGUCUCAGGGUCGGCUUGCUACUGGGUAAGCUGAGGGGCUACGCGAACAAGAUGUGCAGAGUACGGUCACCUGACUAGUGCUAUUGUGAAAAGCUAUUAAAAGAUUGAUUUGAAUAGAAAACCUAGUAUUUUAUUAACAAGCUAGUCUAUUGUCAACGUCAACGUUGUAUGGAGAAACUUUAAAUGUGAUCGUAUCAACCCGGAACAAAGCUUUUUCAAUCUAUAUUAGCGUCCAAAACAACUGUGCAAAAUUUGGGUGCGUUUGGUUGGGUCCCUGUACUCCGCAAUGCGGUUGAAAUUUGUAUGGAAGUUAGUAUGGGAAAACGGGCAUUUUUGCAUUUUAGUCAUAAGUUGAAUUCUUUUGUCUAAUACCAUGUAACUAAUGAAGUUAAAGUAUUGCCUAGGAUAUUCCGAAAAACUUUGCCGAAGACCGUAAAGUGAUCCGACGCUUGUGAAAAAAGUUAUUCGACUGGUAACAUAGGCCAAAAAUUGAGAUUUUAUUAUUGAUGUUAUUCCUUUAGGGGGGUGGGGGUAAGACGGACCGGGUGGGUAAGACGGACCACCGACUAGCUCUGGCACUUAAGAGCUGAAAUUUGACUUUCUUUUACGAUUAACUCUAUCUUCUUAUCAGUUGAUGGUUAUUGAACCACUCCAUGAGAGAAUACAUAUGUCAAAAGUGCAAAAAAUAAUCAAUCAUUUACCAGCCUACACGCUUUUGUGCUGGGAUCUAAUUUUGAGGCGGCAAUAAAUAAGCUUUUUAACAUUAAAUUGCUAAGUUUUUGCAUUUUAUUUUGAGUUUCCCAGUAGUUUUAAACUGUUCCAUCUUAUACACAACGACAUUCAGGUAAAUUUCAUGGAUUAUAGAUAACGGUGGUGGAAUGAAUAUUUUGCGUUGUGUGGGGGUAAGACGGUCCGCCUUGAGGGUGGGUAAGACGGGCAGUGUUGGGGUUACUUUGAUAGUGCCGUAAGAAAUACAUUAAGACCCACACAUUGUUCACAGAUUGAAAUCUUUGGAGUACAAAAAUGAUUGUGGAAGCCGUAUAAAGCAUUUCAUAUUGAUUUUUUAUUCAAAAAUUCAUUUUAUUAGAAUUUUUGUUGUUGGAACUGUUUGAACUUUGUAAAAUUACCAGAGCAUUGCAUACUGUUAGGCGUUCAUCAGUCUAUGGAGGUUUCCUAUUUACAAAAUAUAUUUUAAUUUGCAGAAACACGAUUCGCUAAGAGAUUUAAGGCCAAAUUUAGAUUCUACUAUGAUUGAUCUACCGAAUACAAACGGCCACAAACAUCAUUUAACACAAUUAGAGGCGUAUUAGCUAAAUUUCCAAACGUGUCCAUCUUACCCACCCUACCGGUCCGUCUUACCCACACUGUUGAAAAACAUACAUUUGGAGAUCACUUUUUAAUUAUCUCAAAAGUCAUGGAAAAUCAAAUUUUAUUACAAAAUCGGCUUGCAGACUGUAAAGUACCUUAGUUGAAGUAUAUAGUAUGGAGAUAAAAUUUUAAUUAUCGCAUUGUUUACACUGUCAAAAUAGAGUGUUCACUAAACAUGUCCGUCUUACCCCCACCCCCCUACAUGUUAAAUGUUAAGCACCACCGGGCAAUCUGUACGUUAUAACUUUUCACAAGUGUCGGGUCACUUUACAGUCUUCGGCCAAGUUUUUCAGCACAUCCUAGGCAAUACUUUAACGUUAUUAGUUAGAUCGUUUUAGACGAAAAAUUUCAAUUUAUAAGAAAAAUGCAAAAAGCACGUUUUUCCAUACUAAAUUCCAUAAAAAAUUCAAUCGCAAUGCGGAAUACGAGGAAGCAACCAAUCGCUC